UCCCAUUGUUCCAUUGUUUGCCUCGUUGAAUCCUGAAACGAGAACAAAACCCAGAAACCCAUCAAAAAAAUCUUUCCUCCAAUUUUUCUUCAAAUUUUCAUUGUUAAAGACCAAAACCCGGAAAUCCUUACGUUGGAAAGUGGGAUAAAGAGCAAUGGGAAGCGCGCCCGCACAGAUUCCGACGAGUUUCGGACACGAGCUCCGGGCUUGCCUCCGUUGCCGCCUCGUCAAAACCUACGAUCAGUUUAGGGAAUCGGGAUGUGAGAACUGCCCAUUCUUUAAAAUGGAUGAGGAUAAUGAACGCGUUGUCGAUUGUACCACUCCUAAUUUCAAUGGGAUAAUCUCUGUGAUGGAUCCGUCUAGAAGUUGGGCUGCUCGUUGGCUGCGAAUUGGAAGAUUUGUCCCCGGUUGUUACACUCUUGCUGUUUCAGAGGCGCUUCCAGAAGACUUGCAGAAUUUAUGCGAAGAAGUGCAUGUGCAGUAUGUGCCACCGAAACGGGUAUGAGACAAGAGUCCUGGUAACAUUGAGGACGUGGGUUCGAGUGCGUUGAAGCGCAUUAUCCUCCUAUUUAUGGGUUGGAGAAGGCUUCUAAGUCACUGGAAUCUUCAACAUAUUCCCAGAGAAGAGAAUAGAAUUGCAGACAGGAUAGUCAAGCUUAAGAGAGACAGGGAACCGGGUUUGCGGUUGGUUGAUAAUAAUUAUGUGAUGAGUUUUCUUAAUGUUUGAUACUUGAGUUGUAAUUUCUUUUUCACCAAAAAAAAAAAUACUAUCCUUCUUAAGAAUCACUUGUUUCAGCCCAAGAUUCUAGGGUACUUAGAGACCUCUUGCGGAUUCACCUGCUGAAGUAUUCCCAAAUACUUUACAAACGGCACUAUCAAUAUUUACCUUGUGCCACCAAUCUGUAAGUUUUAACUUUUGUAUGCCUCAAGGAACCUGCCAAUCUAUGGUUUGAGUAAA